UACCAGCUCUCCGAGUGGUAGGGAUGAUUAUUGGGCUUAAAGCGUCCGUAGCCGGCUUAGCAAGUCUCCUGUUAAAUUCAGCGACCUAAUCGUUGAGCCGCGGGAGAUACUACUGGGCUAGGAGGCGGGAGAGGUCGACGGUACUUCCGGGGUAGGGGUGAAAUCCUAUAAUCCCGGGAGGACCACCAGUGGCGAAGGCUGUCGACUAGAACGCGCUCGACGGUGAGGGACGAAAGCUGGGGGAGCGAACCGGAUUAGAUACCCGGGUAGUCCCAGCUGUAAACGAUGCGGGCUAGGUGUUGGGGUGGCUACGUGCCACUUCAGUGCCGCAGGGAAGCCAUUAAGCCCGCCGCCUGGGGAGUACGGCCGCAGGGCUGAAACUUAAAGGAAUUGGCGGGGGAGCACCACAAGGCGUGAAGCUUGCGGUUC
rnacentral:rRNA from 1 species